GACGAACGCUGGCGGCGUGCCUAAUACAUGCAAGUAGAACGCUGAAGAGAGGAGCUUACUCUUCUUGGAUGAGUUGCGAACGGGUGAGUAACGCGUAGGUAACCUGCCUUGUAGCGGGGGAUAACUAUUGGAAACGAUAGCUAAUACCGCAUAACAAUGGAUGACACAUGUCAUUUAUUUGAAAGGGGCAAUUGCUCCACUACAAGAUGGACCUGCGUUGUAUUAGCUAGUAGGUGAGGUAAUGGCUCACCUAGGCGACGAUACAUAGCCGACCUGAGAGGGUGAUCGGCCACACUGGGACUGAGACAAGGCCCAGACGCCUACGGGAGGCAGCAGUAGGGAAACUUCGGCAAUGGGGGCAACCCUGACCGAGCAACGCCGCGGGAGUGAAGAAGGUUGUCGGAUCGUAAAGCUCUGUUGUAAGUCAAGAACGGGUGUGAGAGUGGAAAGUUCACACUGUGACGGUAGCUUACCAGAAAGGGACGGCUAACUACGUG
rnacentral:rRNA from 1 species